UGAGGCAGGAGAAUUGCUUGAACCCAGGAGGUGGAGGUUGCAGUGAGCCGAGAUCGUGCCACUGCACUCCAGCCUGGGUGACAUAGCUAGACUCCA
rnacentral:miRNA from 1 species